UGGGGGCAAAGACGUUAAGGGCAUCGACGUGAAGGGCAUUGGAGUGGUUGGGAUCAUUAAUUGUGUUAGAGAUUGGGGUCUAAACCGCCUGAAUCUUGUUCCAUUAAAUCAUCUGGACUUUCAUCUUCUUCGGUCACUCAAAUUUUUAUUAUUUUUUCUUUUAAACACUAACUUUAACGCCCUAGUCCCAAUGUUCUGC
rnacentral:lncRNA from 1 species